UUCCGGUUGAUCCUGCCGGACCUGACUGCUAUCGGAUUGAUACUAAGCCAUGCGAGUCUUUGCAGUAAUGCAAGGCAUACGGCUCAGUAACACGUAGUCAACUUACCCUAUGGACGAGGAUAAUCUCGGGAAACUGAGCAUAAUACUCGAUAGAUCAUAAUGCCUGGAAUGGUUUAUGGUUGAAAUGAUUCGUCGCCAUAGGAUGGGACUGCGGCCUAUCAGCUUGUUGGUGAGGUAAUGGCCCACCAAGGCGAUUACAGGUACGGGCUCUGAGAGGAGAAGCCCGGAGAUGGGUACUGAGACAAGGACCCAGGCCCUAUGGGGCGCAGCAGGCGAGAAAACUUUGCAAUGUGCGAAAGCACGACAAGGUUAAUCCGAGUGAUUUCUGCUAAAGAAAUCUUUUGCAAGUCAUAAAACCACUAGUGAAUAAGGGGUGGGCAAGUUCUGGUGUCAGCCGCCGCGGUAAAACCAGCACCUCAAGUGGUCAGGAGGAUUAUUGGGCCUAAAGCAUCCGUAGCCGGCUCUGUAAGUUUUCGGUUAAAUCCAUGUGCUCAACGCAUGGGCUGCCGAAAAUACUGCAUAGCUAGGGAGUGGGAGAGGUAGACGGUACUCGGUAGGAAGGGGUAAAAUCCUUUGAUCUAUCGAUGACCACCUGUGGCGAAGGCGGUCUACCAGAACACGUUCGACGGUGAGGGAUGAAAGCUGGGGGAGCAAACCGGAUUAGAUACCCGGGUAGUCCCAGCUGUAAACGAUGCAGACUCGAUGAUGCAUUGGCAUAUAGCCAGUGCAGUGUCGCAGGGAAGCCGUUAAGUCUGCCGCCUGGGAAGUACGUACGCAAGUAUGAAACUUAAAGGAAUUGGCGGGGGAGCACCACAAGGGGUGAAGCCUGCGGUUCAAUUGGAGUCAACGCCGG
rnacentral:rRNA from 2 species